CCCCCACCAAGGACUGGUCCUGCUCAUCUGCCAAGAACCACAAGGUUUCCCGGCUUGAGAAUCCUAUAGUCUCUGCCUGUGUUGAGGACAACCUGCUGAGAACCACGGGGAGGAGAGGUAGAGAGAGGAGGAGAUGCCAUGGGUUAGCUCUGGCUCUCUCCAUCCACCCGCUCCUGUCAGAGCAUCCUUCCCCUGGGAGAUCAAGGACCUGCCAAGGAAGACCAUGCAUGGAAGCCAACUUUACACGGGAGGAAAUGCAGCCCGACACAUCCGAAAAAAGCUAACUCCCAUGAGUACCUGGAUCCAGCGCUACCCGAGGCUAGCCGUUCCUUCCUAUCCUCCGAUUCUGAGAAAAUAAUCUUCUGGCCGUGCAUAGAGUGGGGAACCCAUGCUCCUACCUGGUCCCCUAACCCCUCCUGUUGUGAUAGCCCAACCCAGGACUUAGUACGAACAGUUCUCUGUAGACAGUGAGCCAUCUGGCUCGCUGGUUCUCCUUCAUCCCCACUGGUCCCCCACCUGCCAGCUGUGCUAUUGGCCACUCCGUGGUGAUGUAUAUUUAACAAGGGCUCAGAAUCAAAUUAAUUCAGAUUAGUUAAUAAACGGCAACCUCCAUCUUCCUCUCGGGCAAGCUAAA
rnacentral:lncRNA from 1 species